UCAACGACCCUCAGUUUCACCAUACUAGACCAAUCAACGACCCUCAGUUUCGCCAUACUGGACCAAUCAACGACCCUCAGUUUCACCAUACUGGACCAAUCAACGACCCUCAGUUUCACCAUACUGGACCAAUCAACGACCCCCAGUUUCCUCAAACUGACUAAAGUAGGGGAGGACACGUCUUUCAGUAGCAUUAAGAUUCCCAGUCCUUGAGGAGUCAGUGUCUUUUCUGUUUCCCAUGCCCUCCCUGUACUUCACAGGGAGUCUCUUCCCUGUGCUUCCUCACCCUAAUAAGUGCCUUUCUUUGGCUGUUGCUUCUGCCUCUGCUGUCUGUGUUUCUUGAGGCGUCUCUGCUACAUCCGUUGUGCUCCGAGUUUCCUUGCCCCUUACUUCUUUAACUGACAGAGGAAACGAGCCCGGCCCCGGCCCCGACCCCUAGACUUCCUUCUCUCUUUCCUUUUACUAAUUUCACCGUCAUUCACAUGCUUUCUCGUACAUCUGCCUUUCUAUAAGGUUCUGUAAGAUUCCAGCGAGCGGAGCUGCAGAUUCCGUUUAGCCAGUCCUCAUUGGAUGGAUUUUCAAGGUGCUUUCCCUGGCCUUCAGAAGUCCCCGUUCUGUCACCAGAAGAGUAGGAAGGCGACCUGAACACCACUUUUCCCGAGUGCAAGUUAUUUUUUUCUAAGAACCUUGUGCUUUAUUUCCCGUCGAUAUACCCUUUGUCUUUGAAGCUCUUCUUCCAACUGAGCUUUUAAUAGAGUAAUUAACUGCCUCAGUAUGUCCAGGGCUGGGGAGGUUCCUUGGACACAGGAUAUUUAGUUUCCUAUGAGAAACAGCAGGACAGCUGAUCACUCUGCAACAUCAAAAGCUCAAAUGAAAGAGUAAGGGCAGAGACCUCAGUAAUGACAGGUGACUCCCUCCAUUCUUGGCCAGCAAAGAAAGCCAUCCCCAGGCCUGGCCUCCUCUGGCCAGUGCAGCUGCCCCUCUUCGCCCCUCUCUGCUUGGUGUUCUCUUUGAGGCUCCCCCUAACAGUAAAUAUGCAAGUGCCUUUCUAUAAUGCGAGGACCAAAGGAAGAUUUUGGAUGGUAGAACAAUAAUCUGUCUCCUCUUUCAAGGAGAUAAGCUAUUCCACCUACAAGAAUGGCGACCCACACAGGGGUUGGAUUAUCUCCCUGUAAAGCAGCAGGUCCCUUUUAUUAUCACCUGAAGAAAGCUGCCACCAAGCUGGAACAAACAGCCUAGGCAGACAGUCUCCAAGAACUGAGAGGCUGUGAAUUACAAAGGCUUCAGAAAUGUGCUAGACAGCAGAUGCCACUGGUGGGUGAGCCAGGCUGGGAGGGGCCUCUGUGGCUCAGGGUUCUCAUCUGUGAUGCGGUGUGGAACAGGUACUCCAUGUACAGGCUCCACCUCCAUCCUCCCAGAAGAGGACAAGGGUGAGUGCCCAUCCCAAGAGUGCUGUACAUGCAUACUGUGAAGAGAAAAUGACCAGUUCAUUCCACCUACUAGGGCAGCGACUGGCUCAUCAACGAUAUGUGGACUUGCAGUCUGGAAUGGAAUGGCAAUCAAUGACUUAAUCUCAUUUAUAACCACGCUUCUCUGUCACAGCGUUGUAUCUGUUUGGUUCAUAUAAAGAAAAAUAUUCCCGGA